AUGCAGAGUAUAACCGCAAGAGAAAGCUACUGGAGGAGGCCGACCAGGGCACCUUGGCCCCCAUGUUGGCAGCAGCGGCCCGGCGCGGCAGCUCCCGCUGCAGAUCGUCGGCCCGGCGCGGCGGCUCCCGCUGCAGAUCGUCGGUCCGGUGCGGCGGCUCCCGCUGCAGCUCCUCGGCCCGGGGAGGCGGCUCCGGUUGCAGCUCUGCCGCCCACCGCGGCGCCUCCCGCUGCAGCUCGGCGGAUCAGCGGGUCCCGGAGCUCCCGCUGCAACUCGGAGCUGCAGAUGGUGCGCUCGUUGCUGGUAAAAACUAAGUUCUUUCAGUGA
rnacentral:rRNA from 1 species